AGGAGACCUUAGAGAAUCGAAAUCUUAUUGUGUUCCCACUGGAUUGUUUGAUACAUCCCAUUCACAUCGCCUAGAGUCUGUUUCAAAACAGUUGCAUGUGGCAGGCUUUUAAAAUUACCUGCCAAGUGGAAGGGAGGACGACAUGGCAGCUAAGCCAAAGACUGUCAGAACUGGAAUGCUAUACAAAUCCUGAAAUCCUGGAAGAAGUCUAAAGCCGAAAAGUGACUGGUUCUAUCAAGCAUAAUCAACUCCAACCACUGCCUUUCCAAUGCGCUGAAAUAAAGACUACAGAAUUUCCAAAUCAUCCUGAAUUCUUGCCACCACCAAUGAAGAAAACUUUGACCUAAGGCAUUAUACAUUCCUUCAAAAUGUGGUAAGAGACUGAAUUAAAAAAGGCUGGAGAAAGUAAACAAGAAAUGCAGAUAAAAAUGUACUUGCUCGUGAUGGAAAAAGCAGCGACAGGAAUAAUUCAAAUAACCAGAGGUAAAUCAAGUAGCCAGGGUUUAAGACCUGGUGCCAUAGUGGUUAGAAUGCAGCAUUGCAAGUAAUGUCUGUCCACAGUCUGGAGUUCGAUCCUGAUGGGCUCAAGGUUGACUCAGCCUUCCAAGAUCCCUCGCAUCCUGGACAUAAACUGUUUCAACUCCUACCCUCAAAACGACGCUAUAGAGCACUGCACACCAGAACAACUAGACACAAGAACAGUUUUUUCCCGAAGGCCAUCACUCUGCUAAACAAAUAAUUCCCUCAACACAGUCAGACUAUUUACUGAAUCUACACUACUAUUAAUCGUUUCAUAGUUCCUGUUAUGUAUCUUUAAAUAUUUAGGCGGGAA